rnacentral:rRNA from 1 species
CAGCCGCCGCGGUAAUACGGAGGGGGCUAGCGUUGUUCGGAAUUACUGGGCGUAAAGCGCACGUAGGCGGCUUGGUAAGUUAGAGGUGAAAGCCUGGAGCUCAACUCCAGAAUUGCCUUUAAGACUGCCGAGCUAGCAGGUGAGAGAGGUAAGUGGAAUUCCGAGUGUAGAGGUGAAAUUCGUAGAUAUUCGGAAGAACACCAGUGGCGAAGGCGGCUUACUGGCUCAUACUGGACGCUGAGGUGCGAAAGCGUGGGGAGUAAACAGGAUUAGAUACCCCCGUAGUCCCUGUCUCUUAUAC